GGGGGUGUAGCUCAGUUAGGGAGAGCGCCUGCUUUGCACGCAGGAGGUCAUCGGUUCGAACCCGUUCACCUCCACCA
rnacentral:tRNA from 1 species